CUAACCUUGAAAGAGAAAGGUGUUGGUUUUUAUAAAGCUUUGCGAUCUCUCUCUCUUUAACACGUCUACAUGCUGUAUAUAUGUAGGUAACGAGUGGAGGACAGAGGAGCCUCUUAAAGAAGAAGUUACAGAAGCAUCCAACCAGGAGUCAUCUCCAACCAGGAGUCAUCUCCAACCAGGAGUCAUCUCCAACCAGGAGUCAUCUCCAACCAGGAGUCAUCUCUAGCCAGGAGUCAUCUCUAGCCAGGAGUCAUCUCCAACCAGGAGUCAUCUCCAACCAGGAGUCAUCUCCAGCCAGGAGUCAUCUCUAGCCAGGAGUCAUCUCUAGCCAGGAGUCAUCUCUAGCCAGGAGUCAUCUCUAUCCAGGAGUCAUCUCCAGCCAGGAGUCAUCUCCAGCCAGGAGUCAUCUCUAGCCAGGAGUCAUCUCUAUCCAGGAGUCAUCUCCAGCCAGGAGUCAUCUCCAGCCAGGAGUCAUCUCCAGCCAGGAGUCAUCUCCAGCCAGGAGUCAUCUCUAUCCAGGAGUCAUCUCUAGCCAGGAGUCAUCUCCAGCCAGGAGUCAUCUCCAGCCAGGAGUCAUCUCUAUCCAGGAGUCAUCUCUAGCCAGGAGUCAUCUCCAGCCAGGAGUCAUCUCCAGCCAGGAGUCAUCUCCAGCCAGGAGUCAUCUCCAGCCAGGAGUCAUCUCUAUCCAGGAGUCAUCUCUAGCCAGGAGUCAUCUCUAGCCAGGAGUCAUCUCUAGCCAGGAGUCAUCUCCAACCAGGAGUCAUCUCCAGCCAGGAGUCAUCUCCAGCCAGGAGUCAUCUCCAGCCAGGAGUCAUCUCCAGCCAGGAGUCAUUUCCAGCCAGGAGUCAUCUCUAGCCAGGAGUCAUCUCCAGCCAGGAGUCAUCUCCAGCCAGGAGUCAUCUCCAGCCAGGAGUCAUCUCUAGCCAGGAGUCAUCUCUAUCCAGGAGUCAUCUCUAGCUUGACUUAGAUAGCUUAAGGCCAGGGACUUGGAUCUACAUGGAGAGGAGGGCAGGAUGUGUCCUUACACUUCACUAUGGACUGACUGCGGUUGCUACACAACAUAACACCUUUCCUGAUAAUGUGGGCUCCUACAGAUUCAAAAGCUAAUGUUCUAUCUUCACUCAAGGGACUAAAAACAAACAACCCCAACAUCAACGAACCACUGUCUUAUGAUUUGGCUCUAACACUGGCAACAAAUAUGAAAUGUAACAGGGCCUAAAUGUUCUGUGGGGGUUAAAAACAUCCCCAUUUUGUCUGUGAAUCGUUGUACUGUAUUUGCCCACUUGUUGAAAUGGAAUCCAUAUUUAUAGCACAUUCCUUUAGUGACAGUUCUCUUUAAGAUAGUGGAUAGAUAGCAUAAUUGCUAUGGGAACAUCAGAUAUGGCUGUGAUAGGAGAUAAUUUAGUGUUAUGAUCCAAACCACCGCUGGCUGGCUGGUUGGCUGCUGCCGCACAGCUCUCACCACACCACCAGUCCUGGGUGUGUAAUCACUCUCUGGUCAACCUCACAACCUCACUGGAAGGAUAUGCCAACACACCCUUUACAGGAGUGCAUCUCUUUAUGGUGUCUCUCAAGCUCUCCUAUUUUCCCUAGUAUUGAAAUUAGGAAACCAUGAAAUUAUUUGAAUCACCAGUUACUUUUGGCAUCAUGUACAGUCAUUGAUGAUCAGGGUGGUAACGUGGGGCACAGUGGAAAAUAAAUUUUCUUUAAAAAUGUGUCUCUUUCUUCCAAAUAUUACGCUUUCAAACAAGCACCUCUUGUCUGUGAGCCAUAUAUGAUCGGCCAUUACCUUUAUAGUGCGCUACUUUUGCCCAAGACCCAUAGG